GAUGAACGCUGGCGGCGUGCUUAACACAUGCAAGUCGAACGAAGCACUUUACCGGAUUUCUUCGGGAUGAAAGUUUUGUGACUGAGUGGCGGACGGGUGAGUAACGCGUGGGUAACCUGCCUCAUACAGGGGGAUAACGGUUAGAAAUGACUGCUAAUACCGCAUAAGACCACAGGACCGCAUGGUCCGGUGGUAAAAAACUCCGGUGGUAUGAGAUGGACCCGCGUCUAAUUAGCUAGUUGGUAAGGUAACGGCUUACCAAGGCGACGAUCAGUAGCCGACCUGAGAGGGUGACCGGCCAC
rnacentral:rRNA from 1 species